GGGGAGCGGCGCGGCGGCGCGGGAGGAGGCCGAACCGUCUGAGCCCAGAAGUGCUGAGGUGACGAGGAAGCCCAAGGCUGCUGUUCCUUCUGUGAACAAGAGGCCCAAGAAAGAGACUAAGAAGAAGCGGUAGAAGAGGAGGCCCGAGGAGCCGGGCAGGCAGGGAGAGGGUCUUGGGGACAGCCCUCCUGGGAAUCUACAUCCUGUUCCCCCCCAUCCCAGGCUCGGGAUCUGAGGAGGCUGUGACGCCCUCGGACCACAGAGAUCUAGACAGUCAUGACAGUCCCUAGGCUCCAGCUCGGCAAUCCAUCACUUCCUCUUCCUUCUGCUUCUGUGACGGUUUAGAGUCAAGGGGACUGAAACUGUGAGCAUAGACUGUAUUAGGUUUGUUCAGAAGCCAGUUCAGCUCACAGAGUCACAUUUUCUUAAUUAGUCAUGUGUCCAUCCUUGAGUCGCCCCCUCCUUGUGGGUUUACACUACAUUUUGGCGUCAUUAUCUAACGCUGACAAGCACACCCUCUCCCCUUAUUUGUGCACUGCAAAUCUCCUGCUAAUCAGUCACUUUUGUUGCUGCUGUGUAGACAGAGCCAGGCCUCACCUGUUUGUUUAGGCCAAGAUGCCAUGGCCACGCAAUGUUAGUGAUCCCACUGGCUGCGACAGCCAGGCCCAGAAAAUGCCUGGCGUGAGAGCCAGCAGACGGCCAGGCCAGGGUAGGCAGUGCCUGCUUCUGCUCCGUCAGGUGCAGGGUAUUUGGCUGAAGGUGUGCAUAUUUCCUGGGCACAAACUUCCUGAGCCUCCGAAAUGGGAGGCUCAUCAAUUUCAGACCAACCUCUUUUCAACCCAUCAUAGCACAUUCAAGGUGUGCCUUUUACUUCUACUUGUACAUCCCCCAUCCCUUCAAUUCUUUAAUUCCCUGACCAGUGAGCGAGUUCCUGGGGGAAGUGUGAAUAAACUGACAUGCA
rnacentral:lncRNA from 1 species